rnacentral:rRNA from 1 species
AGGAUAAACGCUGGCGGCGUGCCUAACACAUGCAAGUCGAACGCUCUCUGGUAACAGAGGGAGUGGCGGACGGGUGAGUAACACGUGGGUACCUACCCCAAGGUGAGGAAUACCGGCGAGAAAUCGCCGACAAUACCGCAUAUCUUUCGUAAGAAAGAAAGCUUCGCAAGAGGCGCCAUGGGAAGGGCCUGCGGCCGAUUAGCUAGUUGGUAAGGUAAAAGCUUACCAAGGCGACGAUCGGUAGCUGGUCUGAGAGGACGAUCAGCCACACUGGGAUUGAGAACGGCCCAGACUCCUACGGGGGGCAGCAGUGAGGAAUUUUCGUCAAUGGGGGCAACCCUGAACGAGCAACGCCGCGUGCAGGAAGAAGGUUUUCGGAUCGUAAACUGCUUUUCUUUGGACGAGAACGGACGGUACCAGAGGAAUAACGCCCCGGCUAACUACGCGCCAGCAGCCGC